rnacentral:lncRNA from 1 species
UGGCUCAGAGUUAAAGAACCCACCUGCAAAUGCAGGAGAUACAUGUUCGAUCCCUGGGUAGGGAAGAUCCCCUGGGCAAGGAAAUGACAAACCACUCCAGGAGUCUUGCCUGGAAAAUCCCAUGGACAGAGGAGCCUCGUGGACUAUGUCCAUGUGAUUGCAAGAGUCUGACACGACUUAGUGACUAAACAAUAAAAAUGUGAGGCUUUUUUCUCUACAUGUUGGGACCAGAAUGCUGGAGCAUUAGCGUGGCCUGCUCUCCAGGGGUUAACUGCCUUGAAGAUCUGAUACUGACCUUUGCCUUCUUCUAUGAUGUCAGCCAAGAAACCUCACUUCACAUUUGCAUCCCUUUGCUAUGGGAGGGGGGGCGCUUAGGGAGCCCAGCUUCUGUCCUGAUGAGGCGCCAGAGCCCUAUCAAAAAAUGCAUUGGCUGACUCUCUUUCACCCCUUCCAGAGGAGAAGCACUCAGGGUCACUGGAAUCCCAAGGGUCUGGGAGCUACUGCAAGUCAACUAUCUCCUGAUCCCUCAAAGGUGUCUGGAUCUUUCAGAAGCCAAUGUGCGUACUCAAAUUACUCCUUUCACCACACGAAUCAAACUCUUGGGCAUAGGAGCUUUCAAGCAAAAAGCAGAUUUUGCCUUCUUACAGAGGGUAGGUGCAGGGCGGGUUGGCCCACGCUGCCAACACCCAGCCCCAUUCUUCAGCUGCCAGGGAGCUGAAGCUGGAGUUGAGCCAGCAGUGACUGAAGAAGCCAGAAUACCCAGAGGGCUGCAUAGGUCCACGCCAUGAUAGGAAGCAGGACCACACAUAUUUUUGAUUGGCUCCUGGCAUCUGUGGAAUUUGUUAACCUCGUUAUGCCAUCCAGGUGGGUGGAGCCAGUUGUGCAUCAGGCUUUCUGCUCUGUUGCUUGCAGCCACAAAUGCGUCAGACCCAGCACUCUUAGAAUCCAAGGGAUUGGCUCGUGGAGUGCGUCAUGGAGUUGAGCGGCUCGGCUACUGCUCUUCUCGCAGCUCCCAGGCUCAGGGCUCCUGAUCGAUUUAUCCCCGCCCCCUUUGCCAAGAUGGUCUCAUCCGAGAAGGCGGCUGUUGGCGGAAGAACAAGCUUCGCAUCCCACCUCUGGUACCAUAGGAUCACAGUGAUGCUCAGGGACUGUUCCUAUGCCCAUGCCUUUUGGGAGGAAAACAUCCAUGCUGAAGUUCUCAGGUGUCUUGGCAAAAACUAUGCAAGGAAAAUGGUUCAGAGGGUUUUGGACAGAAUGCUGACAGGAUAUCAUGUCUGUCUGAGUCUACAUAUGGGAGGAUGUAGCUUCUCUGCCUGGCCUGCAACUGCAGCAUGCUCUGGAGAGGAAGGAUGCUCAGUCCAGGGGAGCAGGAGAAGAGGAUGGUGAGAAGCUGCAGAGGCCAGUGAGUACCGCUGGGCAAGGGUAAAUUUGCUGGGGUGUCACACUGGGAUAAAAGAGGACCUGGGAAG